GCAGUGGUGGUUCAGUGGUAGAAUUUUUGUCUUCCAUGCAGGAAACCUGGGUUCAAUUCCUGGCUAACCCA
rnacentral:tRNA from 1 species